CGGGGCGUAGCGCAGGGGUUAGCGCGUCCGUUUGGGGUGCGGAAGGUCGCUGGUUCGAGUCCAGUCGCCCCGACCA
rnacentral:tRNA from 2 species